AACUUUUAGCAAUGGAUCUCUUGGCUCUCGCAUCGAUGAAGAACGCAGCGAAAUGCGAUACGUAAUGUGAAUUGCAGAAUUCAGUGAUCAUCGAAUCUUUGAACGCACAUUGCGCUCUCUGGUAUUCCGGAGAGCAUGCUUGUUUGAGUAUCAGUAAAACACCCUCAAUUCUCUCGUUUUUCGAGGAAAUUGGACUUGAGCGAUCCCAACGGCGGUUUAAAAACCCGCUGGCGGGUCGCUUGAAAUGCAGGUGCGGCUGGACACAUCUUCUGAGCUAUAAGCAUUACUUAUUUAGUCCCGUCAAACGGAUUAUUUCUAUUGCUGCAGCUAACAUAAAGGUUGAUUGUCCUGUGCCCGACUGAUGCAGGAAAACAAAGAGAAAUCUUUGUUCAACUCGAUCUCAAAUCAAGUAAGACUACCCGCUGAACUUAAGCAUAUCAAUAAGCGGAGGAU
rnacentral:misc_RNA from 1 species